rnacentral:rRNA from 1 species
GAAUGCUGACAUAAGUAACGAUAAAGCGGGUGAAAAGCCCGCUCGCCGGAAGACCAAGGGUUCCUGUCCAACGUUAAUCGGGGCAGGGUGAGUCGACCCCUAAGGCGAGGCCGAAAGGCGUAGUCGAUGGGAAACAGGUUAAUAUUCCUGUACUUGGUGUUACUGCGAAGGGGGGACGGAGAAGGCUAUGUUGGCCGGGCGACGGUUGUCCCGGUUUAAGCGUGUAGGCUGGUUUUCCAGGCAAAUCCGGAAAAUCAAGGCUGAGGCGUGAUGACGAGGCACUACGGUGCUGAAGCGACAAAUGCCCUGCUUCCAGGAAAAGCCUCUAAGCAUCAGGUAACAUCAAAUCGUACCCCAAACCGACACAGGUGGUCAGGUAGAGAAUACCAAGGCGCUUGAGAGAACUCGGGUGAAGGAACUAGGCAAAAUGGUGCCGUAACUUCGGGAGAAGGCACGCUGAUAUGUAGGUGAAGCGACUUGCUCGUGGAGCUGAAAUCAGUCGAAGAUACCAGCUGGCUGCAACUGUUUAUUAAAAACACAGCACUGUGCAAACACGAAAGUGGACGUAUACGGUGUGACGCCUGCCCGGUGCCGGAAGGUUAAUUGAUGGGGUUAGCGGUAACGCGAAGCUCUUGAUCGAAGCCCCGGUAAACGGCGGCCGUAACUAUAACGGUCCUAAGGUAGCGAAAUUCCUUGUCGGGUAAGUUCCGACCUGCACGAAUGGCGUAAUGAUGGCCAGGCUGUCUCCACCCGAGACUCAGUGAAAUUGAACUCGCUGUGAAGAUGCAGUGUACCCGCGGCAAGACGGAAAGACCCCGUGAACCUUUACUAUAGCUUGACACUGAACAUUGAGCCUUGAUGUGUAGGAUAGGUGGGAGGCUUUGAAGUGUGGACGCCAGUCUGCAUGGAGCCGACCUUGAAAUACCACCCUUUAAUGUUUGAUGUUCUAACGUGGGCCCCUUACCGGGGUUGCGGACAGUGUCUGGUGGGUAGUUUGACUGGGGCGGUCUCCUCCUAAAGAGUAACGGAGGAGCACGAAGGUUGGCUAAUCCUGGUCGGACAUCAGGAGGUUAGUGCAAUGGCAUAAGCCAGCUUGACUGCGAGCGUGACGGCGCGAGCAGGUGCGAAAGCAGGUCAUAGUGAUCCGGUGGUUCUGAAUGGAAGGGCCAUCGCUCAACGGAUAAAAGGUACUCCGGGGAUAACAGGCUGAUACCGCCCAAGAGUUCAUAUCGACGGCGGUGUUUGGCACCUCGAUGUCGGCUCAUCACAUCCUGGGGCUGAAGUAGGUCCCAAGGGUAUGGCUGUUCGCCAUUUAAAGUGGUACGCGAGCUGGGUUUAGAACGUCGUGAGACAGUUCGGUCCCUAUCUGCCGUGGGCGCUGGAGAACUGAGGGGGGCUGCUCCUAGUACGAGAGGACCGGAGUGGACGCAUCACUGGUGUUCGGGUUGUCAUGCCAAUGGCACUGCCCGGUAGCUAAAUGCGGAAGAGAUAAGUGCUGAAAGCAUCUAAGCACGAAACUUGCCCCGAGAUGAGUUCUCCCUGACUCCUUGAGAGUCCUGAAGGAACGUUGAAGACGACGACGUUGAUAGGCCGGGUGUGUAAGCGCAGCGAUGCGUUGAGCUAACCGGUACUAAUGAACCGUGAGGCUUAACCUUACAAC